CGACCCGUGCAAUUCCAACAGAAGAAACUUAGAGCUAAUUCCACCGCGGCGGGAGCCGGGGAGCAGGAAGGCGUGGGAGUGAGCCGCUCGUUCAUAGAGACGAACAAGGAACUGAACUGGAGUAUCUGCUCCAUCCGAAAUCUAGACUUAAAGCCCGGGGAUUCAGUCGUGACACACGACUGGACAGCAACAAUAGAAGAAUGAUUAAAGGGAACAGAACAGUUGUUGGGAGACAACUGCUGUGCUGCAGGCGAAUGUAUGCUCACUGCUCAGUGGGGUUUGACUGUUUACGUCGCCAGGGACUGUAGCCGUCCAGUCUCCUCUGUCCAUGAAAUUUCCCAGGCAAGGAUAUUGGAGUGAGUUGUCACUGCCUUCUCCAAAGGAUCUUCCCCACCCAGGGAUCGAACCCAGGGCUCCUACAUUGGGAGGUGGAUUCUUCACCCCUGAACCAAAAUGUCUCUUAAAUAGAAUGCACUGA
rnacentral:lncRNA from 1 species